rnacentral:rRNA from 1 species
GACGAACGCUGGCGGCGUGCUUAACACAUGCAAGUCGAACGGAAAGGCCCUGCUUUUGUGGGGUGCUCGAGUGGCGAACGGGUGAGUAACACGUGAGUAACCUGCCCUUGACUUUGGGAUAACUUCAGGAAACUGGGGCUAAUACCGGAUAGGAGCUCCUGCUGCAUGGUGGGGGUUGGAAAGUUUCGGCGGUUGGGGAUGGACUCGCGGCUUAUCAGCUUGUUGGUGGGGUAGUGGCUUACCAAGGCUUUGACGGGUAGCCGGCCUGAGAGGGUGACCGGCCACAUUGGGACUGAGAUACGGCCCAGACUCCUACGGGAGGCAGCAGUGGGGAAUAUUGCACAAUGGGCGGAAGCCUGAGGCAGCAACGCCGCGUGCGGGAUGACGGCCUUCGGGUUGUAAACCGCUUUCGCCUGUGACGAAGCGUGAGGGACGGGAAUGGGGAAAGAAGCACCGGCUAACUACGU